rnacentral:rRNA from 1 species
UCGGAUAAGAGGCUGAAACUCGCCUCUUUGAAGUCGGAAUCGCUAGUAAUCGCAGAUCAGCAUGUUGCGGUGAAUACGUUCCCGGGUCUUGUACACACCGCCCGUCAAACCAUGAGAGUCACCAACACCCGAAGUCCGCCUUGGCGGCCUAAGGUGGGGGAGAUGAUUGGGGUUAAGUCGUAACAAGGUACC